UAAAUCAAGGAAAUGGUGUCUUCUCAGGACCUCUCAAUCUUGUCAAUUACUCACUCGAGAAUGGCUGGGUUCCUCCAGAUUGGAGAACUGCAAAAAUAAUUCCAC
rnacentral:lncRNA from 1 species